rnacentral:tRNA from 1 species
GUAAGUAGGUGUCCCUGCUACCA